rnacentral:tRNA from 1 species
GGGCGCAUAGCUCAGUUGGUAGAGCAGCAGCCUUUUAAGCUGAUGGUCGUGGGUUCGAUCCCCUCUGCGCCCACAA